rnacentral:rRNA from 1 species
AACGAACGCUGGCGGCAGGCUUAACACAUGCAAGUCGAACGAUCUCUUCGGAGAUAGUGGCAGACGGGUGAGUAACGCGUGGGAACCUACCCUUUGGUACGGAAUAGCUCCGGGAAACUGGAAUUAAUACCGUAUGAGCCCUACGGGGGAAAGAUUUAUCGCCAAAGGAUGGGCCCGCGUUGGAUUAGCUAGUUGGUGGGGUAAUGGCCUACCAAGGCGACGAUCCAUAGCUGGUCUGAGAGGAUGAUCAGCCACACUGGGACUGAGACACGGCCCAGACUCCUACGGGAGGCAGCAGUGGGGAAUAUUGGACAAUGGGGCAACCCUGAUCCAGCCAUGCCGCGUGAGUGAUGAAGGCCCUAGGGUUGUAAAGCUCUUUCAGCGAGGAGGAUAAUGACGUUACUCGCAGAAGAAGCCCCCGGCUAAC